UGGAUGUUGGCAACAGUUGGUCCACUAUAGGAGUAGGAUGUGCAUCAAGAUAGAAUCUAUCAAUCUUGAUAGAAAAGAAUAAUUCUAUAAGAUUUGAGAGGGUAAGUCUGAGAAUCUAUGGCCAUAGCAAUGUGAUUGAUGGAAAAGAGUUUUUAUAAGGAUCAUAAUUGGACUUGAGCUGAUCGAAUCUAUCAUAUGAUUGAUGAUGAGGUUUGAUAAUUUAUCCAUGACCUGUCAUCU
rnacentral:lncRNA from 1 species